UACGAAGGGGGCUAGCGUUGCUCGGAAUUACUGGGCGUAAAGGGCGCGUAGGCGGGUCGUUAAGUUGGGGGUGAAAGCCCAGGGCUCAACCCUGGAAUUGCCUUCCAAUACUGGCGACCUUGAGUAUGGCAGAGGUGUGUGGAACUCCGAGUGUAGAGGUGAAAUUCGUAGAUAUCGGAAGAACACCAGUGGCGAAGGCGACACACUGGGCCCAUUACUGACGCUGAGGCGCGAAAGCGUGGGAGCAACAGGG
rnacentral:rRNA from 1 species